rnacentral:tRNA from 1 species
AGUACUACGCCGGAUGAACGGAAAUCAUUGAUGUUGAUUGAUAUGAGAUUGAAUUAUUUCUGGUACUA